rnacentral:rRNA from 1 species
GGACGAACGCUGGCGGCGUGCCUAAUACAUGCAAGUCGAACGGCUUUUCUAUGGAAGCUUGCUUCCACUGAGAAGAUAGUGGCGAACGGGUGAGUAACACGUGGGUAACCUGCCCAUAAGAGGGGGGAUAACAUCCGGAAACGGGUGCUAAUACCGCAUAGUUUUCUUGAUCGCAUGAUCGGGAAAGGAAAGACGGCCUUUGUGCUGUCGCUUAUGGAUGGACCCGCGGCGUAUUAGUUAGUUGGUGAGGUAACGGCUCACCAAGACGAUGAUACGUAGCCGACCUGAGAGGGUGAUCGGCCACAUUGGGACUGAGACACGGCCCAAACUCCUACGGGAGGCAGCAGUAGGGAAUCUUCCGCAAUGGACGAAAGUCUGACGGAGCAACGCCGCGUGAGUGAAGAAAGGUUUUCGGAUCGUAAAACUCUGUUGUCAGAGAAGAACAAGUUGGAGAGUAACUGCUCCAGCCUUGACGGUAUCUGACCAGAAAGCCACGGCUAACUACGUGCCAGCCGCAGC